GAUCACAACAGACCCGGGUUAGGAAACAGUCCUCGUCGUUCCAAAACCCAAAGAGGUUCCCAUCCCAUAUCUCCACUAGAGGCCUGAACUGGCUCAACACCAAGCCCAGAUAUGGAUCCUGAUCAGUCUAUGACAGCACUGAACUUCCUCUAGUCUCCAUCUCCAGCACCUUAAAUUAAUCCAGAACAUAGACCACUCCCCAAAACACAUUGAAGACAACAUGGUGGACAGGAAAGUACCCGACAACAGAAAUAAAUAACAGAAACUAAUCCAGAGAAAAGCAGAAUGCAAAAGCGGUGGAGACCCGGUAAGCCUGACGAUUGGGUCGCUUACAGUUGCGACCCCGGUGAUGACUCCUGCGCUCAUCUUCACAACGACGGACGCCUCAACAACAUCAACUGCUCCAACAAGUAUCGCUACAUCUGCCAGAAACACAGCCAGCGCAGUUAAACAGGCUCCGCCCACUGUCACCUGAACAAUGAUCUGAUCCCAGCACAGCAGACUGAUCAGUUCCUGCUCGUCUCCUGUCCAGUUUAUUGAUCAUCUGUAUUCUGUACCACAGAGCUCUUCGUUCAAACUAAUAAAACUCAUCAAUGAGACAAACAGAUAUAA